CUUUUGCAUCUACGUUUUGAGGAGGGCAUCGACUUCAGUCUGCAGUGUCCCUGAAAUACAGGAGCACAUAUCUCCUCAAGUAGUCACACUGAAGCCACUGGGCUUGGUGUUGGAGGCAGCAACUUUCCCCAGGGGAAAAGGUGGGGGCCCCAUCGCACAGCUGCUAGUCUUUCCUCAGAAAAUCUCACAAAAACCUCCUCCUCUGAAAGGAUCCAAAAAUUGUGGAAUAGGUUCCCAGAUAUUUUGCUUGUAGAGUCUGUGCAGGGUGACUUAGCAACUCGCUUGAGAAUUCAGCAUUUACUUUAUCUUGAUGCCUAGUUGAAAUUUCAAUUUUACAUUCUGUUAUAUAGGUUUCUUUUCUGGGAGAAUUCUCACAACUUUUAAUAUAGCAUACAUUAUGAGUCUACAAGAAGGGGUGGGAAUUUGCAGUGGUUCCCAAAUGUUUUUAAUUACAUAAACUUUUUUUCUUUUUCUUUCUUUCUUUUUUUUUUUUUCAGGAGAUUUGAAUAAAAUUGCUGUUUUGUGGCACAGACUUGGGAAUGGAUUGCCCUAGAACAUAUAUAUUUUGGUGAUCAAGAGCAAGAUUAAGAGUCGCAGUUCUGCCCGAGGCCACCGUCCCCUGACUGAGCGGUGCCUCCCUUGCAUAUGAAACUCAGAAAGGCAGAGAGAAAACACCAAAAACACCAAGCCCAGCCAGCCCACACCUCAAGACCACUCAUUUUAGACACAUGGCUGUAUCUUAGCUUGCAGUAAACAGCACAACAAGCAAAGGUGAGCUCUGGAUAUGCCAGUGAAAAGUCCCAGUCAGAACAUUUGGUUCUGAGUAGCGGAGAACCUUUGAGCAAUUUCAUUCACAGUUUUGACAGACUGUAUUGUUAUUAUUAUGAACUGUGCCUACCCGACCCUCAAAGAAAUGAUGUGUUCAAGUCCUAA